UCGAAACCUGCCCAGCAGAACGACCCGUGAACACGUGAUGCCCUGGUUCUCUUCUUCUCCUAGGAGAAGAACAAAAACGAACCCCCGGCGCGAUCCGCGCCAAGGAAAACACAAAAACGGAUCGAGCGCUCCGCAAGGAUGUGCUCCCCGACCUCUUAACGACUCUCGGCAACGGAUAUCUUGGCUCUCGCAUCGAUGAAGAACGUAGCGAAAUGCGAUACUUGGUGUGAAUUGCAGAAUCCCGUGAAUCAUCGAGUCUUUGAACGCAAGUUGCGCCCUAGGCCGUCAGGCCGAGGGCACGCCUGCCUGGGCGUCACGCACCGAGUCGCCCCCACCCUUCCCUUAUACGGGGGAGAGGCAGGGAGCGGAGAAUGGCCCCCCGUGCCCCAGGGCGCGGCCGGCCCAAACACAGGCCCUGGGAGGCCGACGUCACGAUCCGUGGUGGUUGUAAAAGACACGCCCUAGAAACCGGAUCACGUGCACGCCGAGCCGCAACCCGGAGAGCCACAGCGACCCCCUUAAGGACCGUCCCCGGACGGCUCCCACUCUGCGACCCCAGGUCAGGCGGGGCCACCCGCUGAAUUUAAGCAUA
rnacentral:rRNA from 1 species